UACGUAGGGGGCGAGCGUUGUCCGGAAUCAUUGGGCGUAAAGCGCGUGUAGGCGGCUCGAUAAGUCCGGUGUGAAACCUUGGGGCUCAACCCCAAGCCUGCACUGGAUACUGCCGAGCUAGAGUCCGGGAGGGGAGAGCGGAAUUCCUAGUGUAGCGGUGAAAUGCGCAGAUAUUAGGAAGAACACCGGUGGCGAAGGCGGCUCUCUGGAACGGUACUGACGCUGAGGCACGAAAGCGUGGGGAGCGAACCGG
rnacentral:rRNA from 1 species